AAAUAAAAUAGUAAAUAAAAAACAUGCCUACUUUAGAAGAAACUGCUCAUCAUUGUCCUAAUUUUUAUAAUUGAUUUCUUUUUUUUUUUUAGAAUUUUAAAAACUAAUCACACUUCAUAGUAAAAAAAACAAAAUGAAAUGAAAUUAUUCACACACAGUGUGUGCAGGCAUCUACUAGUAUACAUGUAACAAAACCUAAGUCAUACAGUAUACCUUCGAACUUGUUGUCGUCAAGGUAUAUGCCCUUCACCAUUGUUAAGUUGCCUAUUUCUCUGGGUAUGCUACCUGUUAAAUAUGUGCAUGCAUUCCAACAAAAAAGAAGGAAAAAAAAAAACCAACGAGAUGAUUGUUAUACAUCUUAUAUAUAGAUGUUAAAAUGAAACAAAUAUAUCAAAAUGUAAUGAUGAAGCAAGCAAUCAUUAAUGAGAGGGAGAGAGAGGGGGAAGGGCUCCAAAUCCCGCGUUUUCUGUCCCAGAUUUUUAUGCUCCGAAAAUGUCCUCCCACACACCGUUUCAUUUCCAUGUCGUGAUUUCAGUUUAUUUACAAGACUGCCACUCAAUGCUUUCGGCCAAAUUUCACUUUAUUUACAAAAAAUGCCACUCAGGCUUAAGGCCCGAUUUUCAGCCGCUGCAUCUCAGGUUUGACUCGGGGAGAGAGGGGAAGGGGACAUAACAGCUGACAAAUUGGAGAGAGAUGAUCGCUCCCAUUUUUCACUCGGAGACAGCUGGGUGUGGCUGUGGCUGUGGCGAGAGGAGAGGAGGGGGACGGAGGGACUGGAGAGGAUGGGGACAGAGGGAUAGAGCUUCGGCUUCGGUUUGAUGAGAGGGAGAGAGAGCCUGCGGCUUUCAGAAUCACGAUGAUAGAAGAAGAAGCUCAGAAGUCUGAUACGCCAAGUUGGAGAAACCCUAAAAACCAGAGAAGAAGAAGAAGCUCAGAAAUCGGGUGAGGAUGUUGACAAAUCAGCAAGCCCAGUUUCAGGCGACUCUGCAAAACCAACAACCUGACCUCCGACGAGAGGAGAUUUGUCAGAUUCGAGCCGAACCGAGGCUGUCGUCGACUGAGAGAACAUCAUCAAUCCCGACUUUUGGAUCGACUCCCUCUACCAAGGAAGAAAAUAUCGGUAGUCCGAAAACACGGAAAUAUCGAUGGAAAUAUCGGGAUAAUAUCGAUAUCGAUAAAAAUUACAUGGAAACCACGGAAAUUGUAAGAAAAACUUGGAAAUUUUUAUUGAAACUUUGCAGGAUGUUUAUUUAGUCAAUUAUCUAUUAGUUUAUCACAAAAAAUUGGAAGGAAAUGCAUUGCAUGAUGGAUUUAACAUUAUCAAGUUGAUUAUAUAGCGAGCUGACAAACAUUGUGACUAUAGAAAAUAUGUAGAAAUUAAUGAAAGAAGUCUAAACACACCAUAAUCAUUUAUAUAUAAUGAAUUAGUACAAUAUUUUACACUUUAUACAUUGCAUGGUAAGAUACAUGAGUGGCUUAGUACCACAUAGAGUUCCUAUGAGGUUCAAAAUUUUCAAUAUCUUCAUCAUCUCUAUGUGUAGAGUAAGUGUAUUUUGAAGAGUAGUUACCAACUAUGGCAAUGGUUUUCAAGAACCAAAACCCAAAAGUCAAUAGGAAACCGAAUACUUCGGUAUUUUUCGGGAUUACCAAACAAAUGGGAUUUGGAAACCAAUCCCAUAUCGAAAAUUUCGGUAUUUUUCGGGAUGGGAUUCCCGAACUUCAGGAUGGUUUUGGUUUGGGAUUUUUCGGUUUAAGUUUGGGACUUUUUCGGUUUGGUUUGGGAUUUUCCGGAAUUUUUUCCAGCCCUUGACCAAAUAAAAAAUAGAAAAAUUAAAAACCACUUGCCAUUGACUAAGUAAUUAAUUGACACAAUUUAAAAUAUAAUACCACAAAAAAUUUGGAAUAUGUGCAAAUUUGUUUCUUGUAAAAAUAAACCAUAUAUAUAAAUAUUGUAGCUUAUUAUCAUAACAACAUAAGUGGUACAGUGGUUAAGGCCUUAAGAAGUUAAGGGGGAGGGGUUCGAACCCCUUUAUGCUCAAAACCGAGUCUUUUCCAAAUUUUAAGGAAUUUUUGGACUAAUAUCGCGAUAUUUUGACGAAAACUCAUUGGAUACUCCUUAAAAUAUCGGUAAGUCAAAAAAAACGAAAAUAUCGGCGAUAUUUCGCCGAUAUUUUCGAUAUUUAAAUCCAUGCCCUCUACCUCCUCCCUGUCCGCGACUCCUGCUCCGUCUCUCUUCUUGCGAGUUCGCUUGGGUUCUGCUCCCCAGCUAUUUCAAGCACAAAAACUUCUCCAGUUUCAUUCGUCAGCUCAUACAUAUGUAAGCUCUUCGCCUCUUAAUAUUUUGAUUUAGGCAAAUUGCCAAGGACAAAUCAAUCAUUUUCUGAAGACCCCCAAUGCUAUCGGGAAUGUUUCCGGAGAAAUGGUUAUUUGACAAGUCCAUAUUCAGCACAUCUUUCAACUUUCCGAUGUCUUCCGAGAGUGGUCCAACUAGAGAAUUGGAUGACAAGUUUAGGUCCAAUAUAUACUUGAGUUCCCACAAGGAAGAUGGUAUUUUUGAAGUUAACAAAUUGGACCCUAACCAUAGAAAUCUUAGAGCUACUGCCAAAGUACCCAAGCAGGAAGGAAUAGAACCAAAGAGCCGAUUACCAGCCAAAGCUAAAUAGGCUAGGUUGUUUAGUUGACAGAGUUCAUACGGGAUAUGCCCUUGCAGUUCGUUAUCAUACAAAUACAAAACUUGGAGAUUUUGUAGCCUUUGUAUUGAAGUUGGAAUUGCUCCACUCAACUGAUUGGUUCCCAGGUCUAGUAAUAUCAAGCUGCUCAAGUUGCCAAUUUCUACUGGAAUGUUGCCCCUGAUGUUGGAACGGAAUAAACUCACAUAUAGGAGUGACGUAGAGAGAUUCCUGCGAGAAGCUGGAAUCGUGGUGUUUAGUGGAUUGUCUCCCAAGAAUAACCUUGUCAAAUUUCUAAGAUUAAACAAGCAAGAGAGAGUGCUUGCUGCUUGUGGAGUAGAAGCAUCAAUUGUCAAAUUAUUCGAGUACAAUAAAAGAUACUCAAGGUUUUUCAAGGAACAGAGCGUGCUAGGAAGAAACCCGGAAAAUGAGUUUUCGCUCAUGACUAGCACCCUGAGCUUGGAAGCAUUGGAGAAGUUAGGGAGUAGUCCACCCACGAGGUUAGUUCUGGCUACAGUAAAGAAUUCUAGGUUUGGAGCGUUAAGACCGAUGUUUGCUGGGAGGCUACCUGAGACCUGAUUGAAAGAAAGCCUUAUUAUUUUUAUCAUGGAGAGAUUGAAGAGUUUGGAUGGGAUGACGCCACUGAGAUUAUUAAAUUGCAGUCCCAAAAUCUCUAACUGCGGAAGAUCACCAAUCUUAUCCGGUAUUGUACCUGUAACAAUUUCAGAACGUUUGUAUUAAAUUUGUAACUUCAGUUUAACUAAAAACUAAAAAACAAAUUGAUUAUAAAAUGCCCCCAAAUUUAUUACCUGUUAAAUGAUUCUCACCAAGACGAAUAUCGGUUAAGUAGGUCAAAUUGCCAAGACUUUUGGGUAUGCUUCCACGGAAAUUGUUAGAGUAUAAUGAGAUUUCACGAAGCUCUUUGCGUUGCCACAGUUUGGAGGGAAUCAGACCGCCAAGCUGGUUUCGACCCAAAUCAAAUAUUCGAAUACUCGAAAGAUGCUCACAUAUAUUGUCCGGAAGACUGCCACUCAUGUUGUUUCCGUAUAGAGUCAAAAAAGUCAAAGAAGAUAUGUUGAAGACAGGUACAAGAGCAUAGGCUUUUAGGGCAUUGGACUGCACAAACAACUCCUCCAGUUGAACUAAACUGCCCAUCUCGUUCGGAAGUUCUAUAAAUCAAUCCGUAUAUAUUGUUAAAAUCAUGUAAACAUAUAUAGGAGUAGCUUCUUACUGGGAAUCCCGUUCUACCGUAGCAAAAGUGGGAUAACAUUAUAAGGACCAUGUGCUCACUAUAUAGGUUCUCUUUUUGCUCUAGAAUAUUAGGGUCUUACACAUUAAAUAUACGAUUCCUAUGAUAGUCCUCUCAUUCCAUUUUUGCUAAAGUGGAACAAGAUUCCUGCUAAGAAGGGGUUCGUAUCUAAACUACCUAGUACCUAUUAAUAGAACUCUGAAUAGAACUCUGCUCUCAACCAAAACUACAUAAAAUUGCAAUUUUAACCCUCACACCAAAACUGCACAAAAAUAAAAUAUAUGGGCAAUUUAGUAAUUACAUGAACAUAAAUUUUGUUAUUAUUUACGACAACCUCACAGCCAGGUCAAUAUGGCAUGCCCUAUUUAAAAAUUAAAAAUAAAAUAAAAUAGUAAAUAAAAAACAUGUCUGCUUUAGAAGAAACUGCUCAUCAUUGUCCCAAUUUUUAUAAUUGAUAUCUUUUUUUUUUAGAAUUUUAAAAACUAAUCACACUUCAUAGUAAAAAAAACAAAAUGAAAUGAAAUUAUUCACACAGUGUGUGUGUAGGUAUCUGCUAGUAUACAUGUAACAAAACCUAAGUCAUACAGUAUACCUUCGAACUUGUUGUCGUCAAGGUAUAUGCCCUUCACCAUUGUUAAGUUGCCUAUUUCUCUGGGUAUGCUACCUGUUAAAUAUGUGCAUGCAUUCCAACAAAAAU
rnacentral:lncRNA from 1 species